ACGGGUGAGUAAUACAUCGGAACGUGCCCAGUAGUGGGGGAUAGCCCGGCGAAAGCCGGAUUAAUACCGCAUACGACCUACGGGUGAAAGCGGGGGAUCGCAAGACCUCGCGCUAUUGGAGCGGCCGAUGUCAGAUUAGCUAGUUGGUGGGGUAAAAGCCUACCAAGGCGACGAUCUGUAGCUGGUCUGAGAGGACGACCAGCCACACUGGGACUGAGACACGGCCCAGACUCCUACGGGAGGCAGCAGUGGGGAAUUUUGGACAAUGGGCGCAAGCCUGAUCCAGCCAUGCCGCGUGCGGGAAGAAGGCCUUCGGGUUGUAAACCGCUUUUGUCAGGGAAGAAACGGCCUGAUCUAAUAAAUCGGGCUAAUGACGGUACCUGAAGAAUAAGCACCGGCUAACUACGUGCCAGCAGCCGCGGUAAUACGUAGGGUGCAAGCGUUAAUCGGAAUUACUGGGCGUAAAGCGUGCGCAGGCGGCUUUGCAAGACAGAUGUGAAAUCCCCGGGCUUAACCUGGGAACUGCAUUUGUGACUGCAUGGCUAGAGUGCGGCAGAGGGGGAUGGAAUUCCGCGUGUAGC
rnacentral:rRNA from 1 species